UGGUAGUGGGGGGAUAACGGUUCCGAAAGGGACGCUAAUACCGCAUACGCCCCAAGGGGGAAAGCGGGGGAUCUUCGGACCUCGUGCUACAGGAUGAGCUUGCGUCGGAUUAGCUAGUUGGUGGGGUAAAGGCCUACCAAGGCGACGAUCCGUAGCUGGUCUGAGAGGAUGAUCAGCCACACCGGGACUGAGACACGGCCCGGACUCCUACGGGAGGCAGCAGUGGGGAAUAUUGCGCAAUGGGGGCAACCCUGACGCAGCCAUGCCGCGUGUGUGAAGAAGGCCUUCGGGUUGUAAAGCACUUUCAGUGGGGAGGAAAGGGCGCUGGCUAAUAUCCAGUGCAGUUGACGCUACCCACAGAAGAAGCACCGGCUAAUUCCGUGCCAGCAGCCGCGGUAAUACGGAAGGUGCGAGCGUUAAUCGGAAUUACUGGGCGUAAAGCGCGCGUAGGCGGCUUGGUAAGUCGGGUGUGAAAGCCCCGGGGCUCAACCUGGGAACUGCAUUCGAUACUGCUGGGCUAGAGUACGAGAG
rnacentral:rRNA from 1 species